UACGUAGGGGGCAAGCGUUGUCCGGAAUCAUUGGGCGUAAAGAGCGUGUAGGCGGUCCGGUCAGUCGGUUGUGAAAGUCAAGGGCUCAACCCUUGAAUGCCGGCCGAUACUGCCGGGCUAGAGUCCGGAAGAGGUGAGUGGAAUUCCUGGUGUAGCGGUGAAAUGCGCAGAUAUCAGGAGGAACACCGAUGGCGAAGGCAGCUCACUGGGACGGUACUGACGCUGAGACGCGAAAGCGUGGGGAGCAAACAGG
rnacentral:rRNA from 3 species